AAGUCGUAACAAGGUUUCCGUAGGUGAACCUGCGGAAGGAUCAUUAUUGAAAUAAAUCUGAUGAGUUGCUGCUGGUUCUCUAGGGAGCAUGUGCACGCUUGUCAUCUUUAUAUCUCCACCUGUGCACCUUUUGUAGACCUGGAUCUCUCUCUGGAUGCUAGCAUUCAGGAUUGAGGAUUUGACUUCAUGUCUUUCCUUCCAUUUCCAGGCCUAUGUUUCUUCAUAUACCCCAAUGUAUGUCGUAGAAUGUAAUCAAUGGCCUUUGUGCCUAUAAAUCCUAUACAA
rnacentral:misc_RNA from 1 species